AUUGAACGCUGGCGGCAUGCUUUACACAUGCAAGUCGAACGGUAACAGCACUUCGGUGGCUGACGAGUGGCGAACGGGUGAGUAAUACAUCGGAACGUGCCUAGUAGUGGGGGAUAACUACUCGAAAGAGUAGCUAAUACCGCAUGAGAUCUAAGGAUGAAAGCAGGGGACCUUCGGGCCUUGCGCUACUAGAGCGGCUGAUGGCAGAUUAGGUAGUUGGUGGGAUAAAAGCUUACCAAGCCGACGAUCUGUAGCUGGUCUGAGAGGACGACCAGCCACACUGGGACUGAGACACGGCCCAGACUCCUACGGGAGGCAGCAGUGGGGAAUUUUGGACAAUGGGCGCAAGCCUGAUCCAGCAAUGCCGCGUGCAGGAUGGAGGCCUUCGGGUUGUAAACUGCUUUUGUACGGAACGAAAAGCCCUCUUCUAAUACAGGAGGGUCAUGACGGUACCGUAAGAAUAAGCACCGGCUAACUACGUG
rnacentral:rRNA from 1 species